UGGGGAAUUUUGGAUCAAUGGGCGAAAGCCUGAUCCAGCAAUGCCGCGUGUGUGAAGAAGGCCUUCGGGUUGUAAAGCACUUUUGUCCGGAAAGAAAUCCUUGGCUCUAAUACAGUCGGGGGAGUGACGGUACCGGAAGAAUAAGCACCGGCUAACUACGUGCCAGCAGCCGCGGUAAUACGUAGGGUGCAAGCGUUAAUCGGAAUUACUGGGCGUAAAGCGUGCGCAGGCGGUUUGCUAAGACCGAUGUGAAAAUCCCCGGGCGUCACCUGGGAACUGGCAUUGGUGAUGCUGGCAGGCUAGAGUAUGGCAGAGGGGGUGAGAAUUCCACGUGUAGCAGUGAAAUGCGUAGAGAUGUGGAGGAAUACCGAUGGCGAAGGCAGCCCC
rnacentral:rRNA from 1 species